CCUACGGGAGGCAGCAGUGGGGAAUAUUGCACAAUGGGGGAAACCCUGAUGCAGCGACGCCGCGUGAGUGAAGAAGUAUCUCGGUACGUAAAGCUCUAUCAGCAGGAAAGCAAAUGACGGUACCUGACUAAGAAGCCCCGGCUAACUACGUGCCAGCAGCAGCGGUAUUACGUAGGGGGCAAGCGUUAUCCGGAUUUACUGGGUGUAAAGGGAGCGUAGGCGGCGCUGCAAGUCCGGAGUGAAAGCCCAUGGCUUAACCAUGGUACUGCUCUGGAAACUGUAGAGCUUGAGUGCGGGAGGGGCAGGCGGAAUUCCUAGUGUAGCGGUGAAAUGCGUAGAUAUCAGGAGGAACACCGGCGGCGAAGGCGGCCUGCUGGAUCGUAACUGACGUUGAGGCUCGAAAGCGUGGGGAGCAAACAGGAUUAGAUACCCCAGUAGUC
rnacentral:rRNA from 1 species